rnacentral:rRNA from 1 species
AAUUAUUGGGCGUAAAGAGCUCGUAGGCGGUUUGUCGCGUCUGCUGUGAAAUCCCGAGGCUCAACCUCGGGCCUGCAGUGGGUACGGGCAGACUAGAGUGCGGUAGGGGAGAUUGGAAUUCCUGGUGUAGCGGUGGAAUGCGCAGAUAUCAGGAGGAACACCGAUGGCGAAGGCAGAUCUCUGGGCCGUAACUGACGCUGAGGAGCGAAAGGGUGGGGAGCAAACAGGCUUAGAUACCCUGGUAGUCCACCCCGUAAACGUUGGGAACUAGUUGUGGGGUCCAUUCCACGGAUUCCGUGACGCAGCUAACGCAUUAAGUUCCCCGCCUGGGGAGUACGGCCGCAAGGCUUAAACUCAAAGGAAUUGACGGGGACCCGCACAAGCGGCGGAGCAUGCGGAUUAAUUCGAUGCAACGCGAAGAACCUUACCAAGGCUUGACAUAUACGAGAACGGGCCAGAAAUGGUCAACUCUUUGGACACUCGUAAACAGGUGGUGCAUGGUUGUCGUCAGCUCGUGUCGUGAGAUGUUGGGUUAAGUCCCGCAACGAGCGCAACCCUCGUUCUAUGUUGCCAGCACGUAAUGGUGGGAACUCAUGGGAUACUGCCGGGGUCAACUCGGAGGAAGGUGGGGAUGACGUCAAAUCAUCAUGCCCCUUAUGUCUUGGGCUUCACGCAUGCUACAAUGGCCGGUACAAAGGGCUGCAAUACCGUGAGGUGGAGCGAAUCCCAAAAAGCCGGUCCCAGUUCGGAUUGAGGUAUG